AACAGUAAAACAGCCACAAAUAACAAAAACAAAUAUUGAUAGGCGUCUAAGAAGAGGAGCAUUACAUAAGCAUUGAGUAAGCCAAGUUGGACAAGCUAACACUACUCCAGUUCCAAUGGCACAGC